AAGCCAAUUACCGAUCAAACAGCACUUCACUCGGCAGUCCGCAAUUAAUCUUACUCCGUCACCAAAUUCCGACCAAUUUCUGAUCCCAGUACCCAAUGGCUCCAACCAUCAAAAGAGGAAAGAUCAAAGCUCAAGUGUACAACGAGGUUUCCGAUGUUGUCGCUUCAAUUGCCAUCAAAACAGUGGAAACCCUUGGUUUCAUCAGGAACAACCCUGUCACCACCACUAACAACAACGACAACGACGGCGGCGAUGGAGACGGCGGCGGAGGUGAAUCUCCUCCUCCUCCAAACAACAUCGGUAGUCCCUGAUCUAUCACGUAUUAAGUUUGUUUUCCCAUUGGUUGUAUUUCAACUUGUAGCUUGUGUAAAACUAUGUAUGAAUCGUGAGGAAUAACUGGGAAUAGGAUGUGUUUUUUUUUUCUGUAAUUCUAGAAGGUUUUGAGUCAGGAUAUUCAAUAAAUUAAGUUGCGUCGUGUCCUUCGAUGAUUCGAUCAUUGUACGUUUGUUCUAUGUUUGUGGAAAUUAAUAUAUUGAUAUCUUGGAUUAGAUUUUUAUUGGUUUCUUCUUUAAUUAAGCUGUCAACAAAGAUUUCAUCAUAGAUUUGGUCCAAAAUUUUCUUAUUCGUUUUAUCUGCAUCAUAUAUUGUACUGUACAAGUGAGUGGUGUGCCAAAUAAACCAUGGUCAUAUGACUUUCGCAUAGGUCUUCAAGCUUCACAUGUAAAUUGCAUAAUCUUUUUAUGGUGUAUUAUUAAUUUAUUAUGGUAUCAACAUUUGUGUUCAUAAGUUCAAUUCAUGUUAUCAUGGUUAUUUAGAAAGAACAAAAAAUACUGUUUUUGGUUAACUACUAACUGAUGAUUGGAAANAAAUUAUAAGGUGAUAUAAUUUCAAGUAUUUAUUUAAAUUAACAAUUAUAAUUUUUAUAAUUAAAAAAAUAUCUAUUAAUUAAUAAUUUAUUUAAAAUAAUUGAUUAACAAUUUUGAGUUUUCACUAUAAAAAUUGAAUUAAUUUUGUAACCCACGGGUUAUAAACUGCAAAAGAGCUUAUUUGAAUUUUUUAUCCAGACCAAAACAAUUUUUUUUACAAAAACCAUAAAACGUAUAAUUUGAUUUUGCAAAAACUAUUUAAAACAUGGAAAAUAUCACGACCCGAAUCAAUGUCUAAAGAACCCGAAUUCCGAAUUACGGGUCGAUUUUUUGGGAUCCACCAUACUUGUACCCAUUUCGACUUAUAUAAAUGUGAAGCCAAUUACCGAUCAAACAGCACUUCACUCGGCAGUCCGCAAUUAAUCUUACUCCGUCACCAAAUUCCGACCAAUUUCUGAUCCCAGUACCCAAUGGCUCCAACCAUCAAAAGAGGAAAGAUCAAAGCUCAAGUGUACAACGAGGUUUCCGAUGUUGUCGCUUCAAUUGCCAUCAAAACAGUGGAAACCCUUGGUUUCAUCAGGAACAACCCUGUCACCACCACUAACAACAACGACAACGACGGCGGCGAUGGAGACGCCGGCGGAGGUGAAUCUCCUCCUCCUCCAAACAACAUCGGUAGUCCCUGAUCUAUCACGUAUUAAGUUUGUUUUCCCAUUGGUUGUAUUUCAACUUGUAGCUUGUGUAAAACUAUGUAUGAAUCGUGAGGAAUAACUGGGAAUAGGAUGUGUUUUUUUUUUCUGUAAUUCUAGAAGGUUUUGAGUCAGGAUAUUCAAUAAAUUAAGUUGCGUCGUGUCCUUCGAUGAUUCGAUCAUUGUACGUUUGUUCUAUGUUUGUGGAAAUUAAUAUAUUGAUAUCUUGGAUUAGAUUUUUAUUGGUUUCUUCUUUAAUUAAGCUGUCAACAAAGAUUUCAUCAUAGAUUUGGUCCAAAAUUUUCUUAUUCGUUUUAUCUGCAUCAUAUAUUGUACUGUACAAGUGAGUGGUGUGCCAAAUAAACCA
rnacentral:lncRNA from 1 species